rnacentral:rRNA from 1 species
AUUGAACGCUGGCGGCAUGCCUUACACAUGCAAGUCGAACGGCAGCGCGGACUUCGGUCUGGCGGCGAGUGGCGAACGGGUGAGUAAUACAUCGGAACGUACCCUGUUGUGGGGGAUAACUAGUCGAAAGAUUAGCUAAUACCGCAUACGACCUGAGGGUGAAAGUGGGGGACCGCAAGGCCUCACGCAGCAGGAGCGGCCGAUGUCUGAUUAGCUAGUUGGUGGGGUAAAGGCCCACCAAGGCGACGAUCAGUAGCUGGUCUGAGAGGACGAUCAGCCACACUGGGACUGAGACACGGCCCAGACUCCUAAGGGAGGCAGCAGUGGGGAAUUUUAGACAAUGGGGGCAACCCUGAUCCAGCAAUGCCGCGUGUGUGAAGAAGGCCUUCGGGUUGUAAAGCACGUUUGUCCGGAAAGAAAUCGCGCUGGUUAAUACCUGGCGUGGAUGACGGUACCGGAAGAAUAAGCACCGGCUAACUACGUG